GUCAGUGUGGCAUAGUGGUUUGAGUGUCGGACUACAACUCUGGAGGCCAGAGUUUGAUUCCCAGCUUGGCCA